rnacentral:piRNA from 1 species
UACACAGGACUGUCUCCUGAGCUCCUAGCU